AGUGAACGCUGGCGGUAGGCCUAACACAUGCAAGUCGAACGGCAGCACAGUAAGAGCUUGCUCUUACGGGUGGCGAGUGGCGGACGGGUGAGGAAUACAUCGGAAUCUACUUUUUCGUGGGGGAUAACGUAGGGAAACUUUCGCUAAUACCGCAUACGACCUACGGGUGAAAGCAGGGGAUCUUCGGACCUUGCGCGAUUGAAUGAGCCGAUGUCGGAUUAGCUAGUUGGCGGGGUAAAGGCCCACCAAGGCGACGAUCCGUAGCUGGUCUGAGAGGAUGAUCAGCCACACUGGAACUGGGACACGGUCCAGACUCCUACGGGAGGCAGCAGUGGGGAAUAUUGGACAAUGGGCGCAAGCCUGAUCCAGCCAGACCGCGUGGGUGAAGAAGUCCUUCGGGUUGUAAAGCCCUUUUGUUGGGAAAGAAAAGCAGCAGGUUAAUACCCCGCUGUUCUGACGGUACCCAAAGAAUAAGCACCGGCUAACUUCGUG
rnacentral:rRNA from 1 species